CCUACGGGAGGCACCAGUGGGGAAUAUUGCAUAAUGGGCGCAAGCCUGAUGCAGCCAUGCCGCGUGUAUGAAGAAGGCCUUAGGGUUGUAAAGUACUUUCAGUUGGGAGGAAGGCGUUGAUGCUAAUAUCAUCAACGAUUGACGUUACCAACAGAAGAAGCACCGGCUAACUCCGUGCCAGCAGCCGCGGUAAUACGGAGGGUGCAAGCGUUAAUCGGAAUUACUGGGCGUAAAGCGCACGCAGGCGGUUGAUUAAGUUUGAUGUGAAAUCCCCGGGCUUAACCGGGGAAUGGCAUCUAAGACUGGUCAGCUAGAGUCUUGUAGAGGGGGGUAGAAUUCCAUGUGUAGCGGUGAAAUGCGUAGAGAUAUGGAGGAACACCGGUGGCGAAGGCGACUCUCUGGUCUGUAACUGACGCUGAGGAGCGAAAGCGUGGGUAGCGAACAGGAUUAGAUACCCCGGUAGUC
rnacentral:rRNA from 1 species